rnacentral:rRNA from 1 species
GGAGUCACGCCAGAAAUCUUACCCGGAGAGACAGCAGAAUGAAGGUCAAGCUGAAGACUUUACCAGACAAGCUGAGAGGUGGUGCAUGGCCGUCGCCAGCUCGUGCCGUGAGAUGUCCUGUUAAGUCAGGUAACGGGCGAGAUCCCUGCCUCUAGUUGCCACCAUUACUCUCAGGAGUAGUGGGGCGAAUUAGCGGGACCGCCGCAGUUAAUGCGGAGGAAGGAAGGGGCCACGGCAGGUCAGUAUGCCCCGAAACUCUGGGGCCACACGCGGGCUGCAAUGGUAGCGACAAUUGGUUUCGAAUCCGAAAGGAUGAGGUAAUCCACAAACGCUACCACAGUUAUGACUGAGGGCUGCAACUCGCCCUCACGAAUAUGGAAUCCCUAGUAACUGCGUGUCAUUAUCGCGCGGUGAAUACGUCCCUGCUCCUUGCACACACCGCCCGUCGUUUCAUUGAAGUGAGCUUUUAGCGAGGUGACGUCUGAUUGGCGUUAUCGAACUUGAGGUUCGUGACAAGGGAAAAGUCGUAACAAGGUGACCGUAGGGGAACCUGCGGUCGGAUCA